CAAAUUAAAACUAAAAUUAUAGUAUUUUAUUUACAAUAAAAUUUUGAUUAAAUUAAAUUAAUCUAAUUUGA
rnacentral:tRNA from 1 species